rnacentral:lncRNA from 1 species
CAAAUUCUCAUUUACCUAGAAUCUAAACAACUGGGCAUGCCAAGUAUGAAUUUUUAUAGACUUCUCAUGGAAUUUUAUACUUUUUUAUAGAAUCUUACAGACUUUUAUACAUGUUCAUGAUACACAUGUUAACAUUAAGAUUCUAGAGUUUUAAGAUGCUCAAUGUGGUUUUCACAGUAAAUGUACUUCGUCAAUAGAAUAGUUAUUUUUUACAUGGUGGUUGGUAACUCACAGAAGGUACCAAACAAACCACUUCUAACAACCAAGAU